UAGUAAUCGCGGAUCAGCAUGCCGCGGUGAAUACGUUCCCGGGCCUUGUACACACCGCCCGUCACACCAUGGGAGCCGGUAAUACCCAAGUCAGUAGUCCAACCUCGUGAGGACGCUGCCGAAGGUAGGAUUGGCGACUGGGGUGAAGUCGUAACAAGGUAAC
rnacentral:rRNA from 1 species